rnacentral:lncRNA from 1 species
GAACAUGGCUACGGCUAGCCAUAAGGUAGCUGCAUCCUUAAUGUACCAGAAAAUAAAUAAAACGAGAUAAACCCUAACCAAACCUUCUCUUCCAACCCUAACUCUACCCAGAAACAGAUUUAAUCACUGACAAACCGGGCCCAAAGUCAACCAGACCUAGAGCAGUCAAGACCAGCCAGAGCCGGACCUUGACCGGCCGUUCCCAGCUAUGGCGAGGCCGACCGGCGGUUGGGGAUGGCACCAGCAGCAU